AUACAGAGGGUGCGAGCGUUAUUCGGAAUUACUGGGCGUAAAGCGCGCGUAGGCGGAAGCGCAAGUCGGGUGUGAAAUCCCCGGGCUCAACCUGGGAACUGCAUCCGAGACUGCGCAUCUAGAGUACGGUAGAGGGUAGCGGAAUUCCUAGUGUAGCGGUGAAAUGCGUAGAUAUUAGGAGGAACACCAGUGGCGAAGGCGGCUACCUGGACCGAUACUGACACUGAGACUCGAAAGCGUGGGUAGCAAACAGGAUUAGAAACCCUAGUAGUCC
rnacentral:rRNA from 1 species